AACAAACGCUGGCGGCGUGCCUAAUACAUGCAAGUCGAACGGGGAAAGCUUUCGGGUGAGUACUAGUGGCGCACGGGUGAGUAACGCGUGGAUAAUCUGCCUUGAAGAGGGGGAUAACCAGUCGAAAGAUUGGCUAAUACCGCAUAAGACCACAGGAACUGAGGUUCUAGAGGUCAAAGGUUUUUCGCUUCAAGAUGAGUCCGCGUAAGAUUAGCUAGUUGGUGAGGUAACGGCUCACCAAGGCGACGAUCUUUAACUGGGCUGAGAGGAUGAUCAGUCACAAUGGAACUGAGACACGGUCCAGACUCCUACGGGAGGCAGCAGUAGGGAAUAUUGCGCAAUGGAGGAAACUCUGAUGCAGCGACGCCGCGUGAGUGAUGAAGGCCUUCGGGUCGUAAAGCUCUGUCGCAGGGGAAUAACACAAUGAAGGUACCCUGUAAGAAAGGAUCGGCUAACUUCGUGCCAGCAGCCGCCGUAAAAC
rnacentral:rRNA from 1 species